rnacentral:rRNA from 1 species
UCUUGGUCAUUUAGAGGAAGUAAAAGUCGUAACAAGGUUUCCGUAGGUGAACCUGCGGAAGGAUCAUUACCUUUCAAUGCAGCAGAGUUGGGAUGGUUGAGUAUCUCGCCUUUCAAUUCUGCCUGUAUUCUACCCUUGUUUCUCUUACACUAUUAUUUCCUCGGCAGGCUUGCUUGCCGAGUGAAACCAUUUAUAACCUGUUUAAUUUUCAAUCAGCGUCUGAACAAAUUAAUAAUUACAACUUUCAACAACGGAUCUCUUGGUUCUGGCAUCGAUGAAGAACGCAGCGAAAUGCGAUAAGUAGUGUGAAUUGCAGAAUUCAGUGAAUCAUCGAAUCUUUGAACGCACAUUGCGCCCCUUGGUAUUCCAUGGGGCAUGCCUGUUCGAGCGUCAUUUGUACCUUCAAGCUCUGCUUGGUGUUGGGUGUUUGUCCUUUCUCUUGCAGAGGGACUCGCCUUAAAGUAAUUGGCAGCCAGUGUUUUGGUUUUGAAGCGCAGCACAAGUCGCGAUUCAAGGCUAUACGCCAGCUUCCACAAGCCUUUUUUCACUUUUGACCUCGGAUCAGGUAGGGAUACCCGCUGAACUUAAGCAUAUCAAUAAGCGGAGGA